rnacentral:rRNA from 1 species
GGGCGGUGUGUACAAGGGGCAGGGACGUAAUCAACGCAAGCUGAUGACUUGCGCUUACUAGGGAUUCCUCGUUGAAGAGCAAUAAUUGCAAUGCUCUAUCCCCAGCACGACAGAGUUUAACAAGAUUACCCGGGCCUUCCGGCCAAGGAGGUACUCGCUGACUCUGUCAGUGUAACGCGCGUGCGGCCCAGGACAUCUAAGGGCAUCACAGACCUGUUAUUGCCUCAAACUUCCAUCGGCUUGAGCCGAUAGUCCCUCUAAGAAGCCAGCGAACUGCCAGAGCAGUACGGGCUAUUUAGCAGGUUAAGGUCUCGUUCGUUAUCGCAAUUAAGCAGACAAAUCACUCCACCAACUAAGAACGGCCAUGCACCACCACCCACAGAAUCAAGAAAGAGCUCUCAAUCUGUCAAUCCUCACUGUGUCUGGACCUGGUGAGUUUCCCCGUGUUGAGUCAAAUUAAGCCGCAGGUUCCACCCCUGGUGGUGCCCUUCCGUCAAUUUCUUUAAGUUUCAGUCUUGCGACCAUACUCCCCCUGGAGCCCAAGCACUUUGAUUUCUCGAAAGGUGCCGAACGCGUCAAAUAAUAACAUCGUCCGAUCCCUAGUCGGCAUAGUUUAUAGUUAAGACUACGACGGUAUCUGAUCGUCUUCGAUCCCCUAACUUUCGUUCCUUAUCAAUGAAAACAUCCUUGGCAAAUGCUUUCGCAGUAGUUAGUCUUCAGUAGAUCCAAGAAUUUCACCUCUGACAACUGAAUACUGAUGCCCCCGACUGUCCCUAUUAAUCAUUACGGCGGUCCUAGAAACCAACAAAAUAGAACCACACGUCCUAUUCUAUUAUUCCAUGCUAA